rnacentral:rRNA from 1 species
UGAGGAAUAUUGGGCAAUGCCCGAAAGGGUGACCCAGCAACGCCGCGUGGAGGAUGAAGGUCGUAAGAUUGUAAACUCCUGUUAGAGGGGAAGAAUAACUAAGUUUGGAGCUUAGUAUGACUGUACCCUCAGAGAAAGCCCCGGCUAACUACGUGCCAGCAGCCGCGGUAAUACGUAGGGGGCAAGCGUUGUCCGGAUUUACUGGGUGUAAAGGGCGCGCAGGCGGAAUGGAAAGUCAGUGGUGAAAUCCUACAGCUUAACUGUAGAACUGCCUUUGAUACUUUCAUUCUUGAGUUCGGGAGAGAGAGACGGAAUUCCAGGUGUAGUGGUGAAAUACGUAGAUAUCUGGAAGAACACCAGUUGCGAAGGCGGUCUCUUGGUCCGAUACUGACGCUGAGGCGCGAAAGCGUGGGGAGCAAACAGGAUUAGAAACCCGGGU